GGGUAAAUGGCGGAAUUGGUAUACGCGCUAGAUUCAGGUUCUAGUGACAGCAAUGUCUUGGAGGUUCGAGUCCUCUUUUACCCA
rnacentral:tRNA from 1 species